rnacentral:ribozyme from 1 species
GCUGCAGCGCUCGCCCUGAGGGGUUGGACCUGGCGUGGCUUGGCUGUUGGAGCCGGAGGCCAGGCUCGCUCGUUCGUGCCGCUUGCGCCGAGGGUCCCCCGCAG